rnacentral:lncRNA from 1 species
CAAUUCUUCAUUAGGAGGAAUGAAGAGCUGAACCAUAACCACUCAGCCCCCUCACAGCAUCCAAACAGAGCUUGUAAAGCGGGGCCAGGCCUCUGCCACCCUUGCCUCCGUCCUCCAGCCCCUGUGCUCAGCAAACCGAGAGCCAAGGACAUGUACCCUCUCCAGGGUUGUCAACCGACCAGUGACAGGAAGCAGGUCUAAAGGCUCAUUUAACUGCAAAACAGCACCUGUCUUUUUAGGCGAGAGCAGGCUUUGCUUGUCAGCCCUGUCAGCAGCAGGGGCCCUGCCUGGAGGCACCCGAUUGUGUCAGAGGGGUCACACUGAGCACUGCGACACGCAGCACUGGCUGGCAUGGGGGCAGGAGGCUGUCGGCACGUUUUCUCUGCAAGGACAGCGGGAACUCAAGAUCAAAAAUGCUGAAGAUUGGAAACGUCCCAAUAUACUCCUUCUGUCACAUCUACGUUGUUGGACUGUUUUUACCUCCUCACUAAAGAUGGUCAGAGAUGAAGCCAAAUACAAGCAUGAGAGGAAGUUCUAGAGUUGAGAAGCAAAAUUACAUGGCAGAGGAGAAAGAUUCCUUCACCUGUUCUGUCAGAUGAAUCAAUGUGCAGCAGCACUGUCUGGAGGAAUUCCCUUAUGCUUGUAAAUUGCAAACGACUGGAGCUACCCAACACAGUCAUCUGCCUGCUUGAUACCUGAAAUUACUCAUUUGGAUAAUUC